rnacentral:rRNA from 1 species
GUCCACGCCGUAAACGAUGGGCACUAGGCGUCGGGGGGAGCGACCCUCCCGGUGCCGUCGCUAACGCUGUAAGUGCCCCGCCUGGGGAGUACGGCCGCAAGGCUGAAACUCAAAGGAAUUGACGGGGCCCGCACAAGCGGUGGAGCAUGUGGUUUAAUUCGAAGCAACGCGAAGAACCUUACCUGGGCUUGACAUGCAUGGGAAAGCCGGUGGAAACACCGGGCCUCCUUCGGGACUCAUGCACAGGUGCUGCAUGGCUGUCGU